UGGUGGCGAGUGGCGAACGGGUGAGUAAUACAUCGGAACGUGCCCAGUCGUGGGGGAUAACGCAGCGAAAGCUGUGCUAAUACCGCAUACGAUCUCUGGAUGAAAGCGGGGGACUCGCAAGGGCCUCGCGCGAUUGGAGCGGCCGAUAUCAGAUUAGCUAGUUGGUGGAGUAAAAGCCCACCAAGGCGACGAUCUGUAGCUGGUCUGAGAGGACGACCAGCCACACUGGAACUGAGACACGGUCCAGACUCCUACGGGAGGCAGCAGUGGGGAAUUUUGGACAAUGGGCGCAAGCCUGAUCCAGCAAUGCCGCGUGCAGGAUGAAGGCCUUCGGGUUGUAAACUGCUUUUGUACGGAACGAAACGGUCCUUUCUAAUAAAGAGGGCUAAUGACGGUACCGUAAGAAUAAGCACCGGCUAACUACGUGCCAGCAGCCGCUGUAAUACGUAGGGUGCGAGCGUUAAUCGGAAUUACUGGGCGUAAAGCGUGCGCAGGCGGUGAUGUAAGACAGAUGUGAAAUCCCCGGGCUCAACCUGGGACCUGCAUUUGUGACUGCAUCGCUAGAGUACGGUAGAGGGGGAUGGAAUUCCGCGUGUAGCAGUGAAAUGCGUAGAUAUGCGGAGGAACACCGAUGGCGAAGGCAAUCCCCUGGACCUGUACUGACGCUCAUGCACGAAAGCGUGGGGAGCAAACAGGAUUAGAUACCCUGGUAGUCCACGCCCUAAACGAUGUCAACUGGUUGUUGGGUCUUUACUGACUCAGUAACGAAGCUAACGCGUGAAGUUGACCGCCUGGGGAGUACGGCCGCAAGGUUGAAACUCAAAGGAAUUGACGGGGACCCGCACAAGCGGUGGAUGAUGUGGUUUAAUUCGAUGCAACGCGAAAAACCUUACCCACCUUUGACAUGUACGGAAGCCUUUAGAGAUAGAGGCGUGCUCGAAAGAGAGCCGUAACACAGGUGCUGCAUGGCUGUCGUCAGCUCUGUCGUGAGAUGUUGGGUUAAGUCCCGCAACGAGCGCAACCCUUGUCAUUAGUUGCUACAUUCAGUUGGGCACUCUAAUGAGACUGCCGGUGACAAGCCGGAGGAAGGUGGGGAUGACGUCAAGUCCUCAUGGCCCUUAUAGGUGGGGCUACACACGUCAUACAAUGGCUGGUACAAAGGGUUGCCAACCCGCGAGGGGGAGCUAAUCCCACAAAGCCAGUCGUAGUCCGGAUCGUAGUCUGCAACUCGACUACGUGAAGUCGGAAUCGCUAGUAAUCGUGGAUCAGAAUGUCACGGUGAAUACGUUCCCGGGUCUUGUACACACCGCCCGUCACACCAUGGGAGCGGGUUCUGCCAGAAGUAGUUAGCUUAACCGCAAGGAGGGCGAUUACCACGGCAGGGUUCGUGGCUGGGGUGAAGUCGUAACAAGGUA
rnacentral:rRNA from 1 species